CCGCGCGAGACCCCCUGUCCUAGAAGUAGGACCCCCAGAGAGCCACGGAGGGAGGGGACGAUACGAGAGGAAGACAGAAAGAAUGAGAGAAAGAGGGACGGAGAGACAAGACAGACUUCUAGUGCCGCGGAACCACGAUGACGAUUUGCGGCCGAUUGACUAAACUCUACAUCAUCAGAACCACAGCGAGUGCUGGACUGAGGAAGACUUUGAGGAAACAUGUGAUGUACACAAGUUAUUCUCUUGGAUAUCGUGCCUCUAUGGUGACACGGUGGCACCGGGUGGCAAAUCGCGGCUACUUCCAGCACAAGUGCAGUCGGAUCAUGUAUUCUGUCGUCAGAGCUCUCCGCAACGGCAGAGCUCUCUCGGAGAGAUGGAGACACGGAGGAUGAUGCUGCGUGUAGUACAAGUUCGCACUAAUACGCAGAUGACAACAUAUCUUUAACGGGUCAAAAUUACUUUGCACGUGAAAGAUGGAGAGAUGACGCGGUGCUGAAGUGAACUCGGGGGACAUACCUUCUUAACUUGAAUGCAUCCUGCGUGGGGCUGUGAGGAGAGGACCUCGUCAAAGUUAAUAUUUGAUCGGUUGUUCGAGAAAGUGGUGACGGGAAUUCCUCUGAAGCGCGUGCGGGGAAGCCAUAAACUCGCCGCGACGCGACCCUAAAACAUUUGACAUUGUAAUCCUCUGCGUGAUGUCAGCUCUUGUGGCGGAUGACAGAUAUAGGGACCGGGAGCGACGCGGGAGCGCGCGCUCCAUCAUAACGUGACGCUCCAAAACUCCACGAGAGCGCGCGGAUGGAGGAGGAUGAGGGGCAUCAGAAGGGGCGGGGCCGUGAGACGUAGGCGACAGUGGCUGUAGUUGGGAGAGAGUUCCCUGAUUGGUGGAUUAAAAAGCGCGCUCUCUGAAUCCACCAACCACCGUCAUGCGAGACCCUAGCCCAACUUCAUGUAGAGUUGAAGUCACGACCGGCGCACGGUUGUGUUGUUGCAGCGCAUUAAAAACGUAUGAUGUGAUAGAUAGACCCAUUUUAUAACAGACGCAUAGCCUAUGCACAGAUUGGCAUGCAUAUGUUAUGUGGAGUGUAUCUGCCUCUACAGACAGACAGACACACAUGCACACACACACACACACACACACACACACACACACACACACACACACACACACACACACACACACACACACACACACACACACACACGAUGAUCAAUAAAAGUCUUUACUUGAGAAAUUCUAUGAUGUGUGUAUGAAGGAAAAUAUAAAGCCCUAUAACACAACAACACAUAAUGCAUUUAAUUUGAGAACACUGUUCCUCUGAACACUUUAUCCCUCCUUGUUAUAUCCAGGGCCGGUCCGUGCGUUGAGUUCACGUCCGGUUCUCACGGCGCUGGUUGGGCACGUGGCGUGGGGGACCUCGAGGCUCUCGUGGGUGGGGCGGCGCGGUGGCGGUAAUGAAGGGAGACCCGGUCACCGCUCCGGGAGGGAGCGUCAUGAUGGCCCCGCUCAACCGGGCACGUGACGCAAGCGUCGGCCCACGCAGUGGUGUCACGGAAGAUCUGCUCAGACGCGGUGCGGAGUGGGACACUCUUUGAUAACAGACGCGCAGCACAGUGUGCGUUCAGUCUGCACAGAAGCGAAUCUCAUAUUGAACCUAGUGUAAUUUGUGAUACAGUAAAUACAUUUUCGUGUCAUUUACAUAUCAUUUGGUCAAUAUAAUAUUAUUGAGAGUCACACUGCAUAUACACAAGUAGGCCUACACUGGUCUGUCAGUUUCCACCGUUUCAAUGUAUUUUAAUGUGACCAAGACAACUAACCAUACAGCACGUCUAAAUGUAGUGCAAUAUGGUCGUAGUUGAGAUGGGGCAGUGGGGGUGGGUCGGGUGUCAUUAUGUGGAAGGCGGAGGUCAUUAGGACUCCCAGG
ensembl:lncRNA